AGGUGGCACAUGUCCCUUUGAGGACCAGCAGGGCUGUCACCAUACAGGUGCAGCAUGCCAAGCUCUGCAAGGUCGCUUAGCAUGCUCCUGUGCCUCCUGCUUUGGUGGGUGCACAUAGGAGUCCUGGCUUGUGGUCUGCUGUUCCGGAACUCUUCUACACGCUUCUGUCCAAGGACCGCUUGGGGCAGAAUUUAGUGAAGGGCAACACAAGUUUGUUUAAUUGGAAAGGGGGACGAGUUCGCCAUUUAGAACGGUCAUCCACUCAGUAGUCUGUUUUCAUCUUCCCAGCCAGUCUUAUCAAUCAUAUCGUACUCUUUUAUGAGCACCCUGCUUCUUAAAAAUGAAGUAAAUAAAUAAAAGGGGAAAGGAAGUCCGCCAGGGUGACACACACCUGCGACCCCAACACUGGUGAGACUGAAGCAAGAAGAUCAGAAUCCAAGGUCAUCCGGGCCCUAGCAGGUUUGGGGCUACCCGUCACAAACAAGAAGGACAGAUGGAAGAAAAAGAAAAGUUUUGUCUGCUUGUUUUUAACCGAACGCGCAUUGCAGGUUGUCAGCACCAUGAACUUCUUGGCUCUGAAUGAUUCUUGAAUCUGAUUGUUGUGUGACUUUCCUUGGGGAGAUCCCAACAGUUAUUCACCCAAACAAGGCACUGAUGACAGAUCAAAGAACCAAUUCCACACAAAUCUAACUUAGAGAACCGUCAGGAAACAGGAGGAAGAUGAAGGCUCACGGUCAGCGACAUUUCUCACUUCACCCAGUGGAGGACCCAGCCCACGAGAUGGUGCCGUUCACAGGUAAGGAAGGUCUUUCUAUAUCCAUCUAAUCUAGAUGAGCCUUGGCUAGCAUGAGGCUUGUCCUUUACGGCAAAUCCUGACAAUCAGGAUUAACACCAUCACGCUGUCACGAAGUGCUCAUACGACCCUGUGUGAUCUCAGUGAGAAGAGAGGCCAGCGCGUGGCUCGGGCUCCCAGAAUCCACUCUGUCCAGUGUGCAUUUCCUCAAACGCACGCUGUUCUCCCUCUGUCUAGAGACCUCCUUGGCUGGAAUGAUCUCCUCGCUGCCUUUCCUAACCCUUUCCGUCCUAAAGGCAUGGCUGGGGCUCCCUCUCCUCCCGGAAGCUUUCCCCCACCUCAGGAGCCUCUUCCUCUGCACACAUUGUAUAUAAUUCCCCCUGGCCUCAGGACAGAGCUCCUGCUGUUAUUUGUCCUUUGGAAAGUAUGUCUUGUUUUCCCAGUUACACUGUAAACUUUUGAGUGUAGCAACCAUGUGCUACUCUAUAACCCAUAUUGCCUAAUGUGUUAUUCUAAAAAUCAUUGUGCCCAGUGUGCAUAAAGAGGCUCGGUAAACAUUUGCUCAAAGAAGAAAGGAAGAAAGGGAGAGAAAUAGGCAAUAAAUAAAUAAAUCUAUCUUGUCUGUCACUCUCCAGUUAUUGGUUUUUAUAUUUUAUUUAUCUAUUUAUUUAUUUGUUUGUUUGUUUAUUUAUUUAUUUGAGACAAUGUCUCUCUUGUAACAGUCCUGGCUGUCCUGGCUCUCACUCUGUAGACCAGGCUGGCCUUGAAAUCACAGAGCUCUGCCUGCCUCUGCCUCCCAAGUGUUGGGGUUAAAGGCAUGUGCCAACGCACCCAGACAGUUAUUGACGUCUGAGAGUUGUUUUAGGGUGUGAUGGUUUAAAUAAAAGUGAUUCCCAUGGAGUCAUGUGUUUGAAGACUUGUAUUGGGCAGCAGUUUUCUCUGGGAUGGGAAAAUUCCAUCUGAUGGGGAACCGCCUUAAACCAGAAAAUAACUUCAACCAGCUUCAGGACGUCCCUGAAUCUGUUCAGACUCACUAGGUUUCUCCUUCCCAGAGAAAGCAAUAAGGACGCCUGAGGAUCACUCUCAGACAAGCCAAGCUGUAGAAGAUCUUAGGCUAGACCAGCAGCAGCCUGGAAGAAGUAGAAACCAGUUGAGCUGCCUGGAAGCUUGUCACCAAGCUGAGUCACUUGAAAAGGACACUCUCCAACCUGCGUGCAGGCUGUGCACUGUUCCCAGCUUCUGUGAGCGGUCACCAGCUCUGGAGUGGUCUUUGGUGAUGCAGCUGUCUUUGCAUCACGUCUACUCCUGUGAGCAACCCCUCACCCAUAUUCCAGUAAGUGACCUGUGGUGGUUUAUGUGAGAAAGCGCCCCACCCCAUAGACUCAUAAAUUUGAAUGCUUAGUUAUUAGGAUGUGAAAAGAUCUGAGAAGGAUUCAGAGGGGUGGCCCUAUUGGAGUAGAUGUGUCAUUAGGGGUGGACUUUGAGGUUUCAAAAGCUGACACCAAGCCUGUCUCUGCCUGCCCAUCCACCUGUGGAUCAGGAUGCUGUUCUCAGGUGUUCUCCAGCACCAUGCUUGACCAUGCUCCCUGUCAUGAUGAUAUUGGACUACCCUCUGAAUUCAUAAGCAAGCCCCCAAUUAAAUACUUUCCUUUGUAAGAGUUACCUUGGUUACAGGUCUUGUAGAACACUUGGUCUCUGUUUUAUGGCUGUUUGCGGAGGACUGGGAGGUCAGGGUCUUGUUGAAGGAAGUAUAUUACUACAGGCGGCUCUGAGGUUCCAAAGGACUCAGGCUAUUUUGAGUUAGCUCUCCUGCCUCCCACUCGUAUAUCAAGAUACAAAACCUCAGUUGUUUCUGCAAAGCCAUAGUGGACUCUAAGCUCUAAAACCGUAAGCACGGUUAAACAGUCUUUCAUAAUGGUCUUGGUCAUACUUUGUCCCAACAAUAGAAAAAUAACUAAAACAAGUAUUUUUGUGCAUGUUUUGUUUGUUUCUUUUCUUUUCUAACUUGAGACAGAGUCUUUCUACAUAGCCCUGGCUAUCCUGAAACUCACUAUAUAGACCAGGCUGGCCUCAAACCCAAAGAGGUCCAUCUUCCUCUGUCUCUUAAGUGCUGGGAAUACAGGUGAGUGUCAUCACACCUAUUCUCUUUUAUUUCUUUCUCUUUUUUUUUAAAAAAAGAAACCAAUUAUCUUUAUUUUAUGUGUAUUGGUGUUUUGCCUGCCUGGAUGUUUGUGUAAAGGUGUCAGGUCCCCUGGAACUGGAGACAGUUGUGAGUCACCAGGCGAGUGCUGGGAACUGAACCUGGGUCCGCUGGAAGAGCAGUCAGUGCUCCCUACUACUGGGCCAUCCUUCCAGCCCCUAUUCUAUUUCUUAAACUAAGCUUCCUAAUAGCUUGCCACUUUGUGGGCCAUCUCAAUCUCCCAGAGAGAUCAAAAGGAACUUGCUUUGUAGGUGACAAUUAAAUGCUCUUCUGGACCAGUAUCAGGAGAUGCUUACAGUGGAGACUGAAUGGUCACAUACCUGAGUCGGAGCAGAAUGUAUAACAGAUCUGCUAGGAGAAAGGGGACCAACUUUCCCAGAGGGGACCACGGGAAGGAGGAGACAGUGAAUGUGACCCAGCCAGGGAGUAGCAAGAACUAGGCCUAGAAGGUUACCGUGGGCCCAGAGACUGUCCAUUGGCUUCACCUCUGGCGUUUUCCACCUGCCAUGGUCUCUCAUCCUUCUCACCGCAGACAGAGCGACUUUCUUAUGCUGGCCUUUCAGUAUGGUGGCUGGGCCUGGCCACGCAGUGAGCUGGUGCCUACUGUGCUUCUCUCAGCCUUGGCACAUGACAGGGAGGGGACUUCCUUUGAGGGUUUAACUGGGAAUUUGUCCUCUUGCCCCACGUCAACUGGUUGCUUCAGGACACUCCUCAAUAGUUUCAUUUCCCUCAUUUGGAAUAAAGUUUUUAAGAACCAAAAAUCCAAACCAGAGAGAGAGAGAAAUGAGGCGGCCGCCCACACUGGCACCGCAUGAUGCCAACCCCGAGAGGGCUUGAGGUUAGUGUAAAGACCCGAAGCUCUGGGGAGUGUGAGGUUUGCAGGUUGCCAUGGGGUCCUUCCCAGCAUCCCACUCUUCUUGAGCCAUCUGGAAGAUGGGGUUGCUCUCAAAUCCUGAGGUCAUCUCCUCAGGUUCUGGUCUUCUCGGCCACUAACUGCAGUGACUUAUCUCUAUGGGCACACCACCUCUUCCUGUUUUGGAAACAGUGACAGUAUCAACAAAUACACAAAGAUCUCAUGCAGUACAAAGACAAUGAAAUGGUCAUGGACGUCUCCUGUCAAUGGCGGAGAUUUAAGGAUGGCAGGACAGGAAGGUGGAUCCCCCCAGCUGACCGCCAUAACAGAAGGAAUUAGGCAUUUGAGCCUUGGUGGGCAGAGGGAGAAGGCAUAACUAUGGAAGAUCUCAAACAAGCUGUUCUGGGAUAUCUGAGCUGUGACUUGUACGGGUCAGAGACGGGGCAGACAGGAUGGGGAGAACCUUAAAUAAGGCCAAGGUCAAAAGAAUGGAGGAUGGGAAAGAGGGCUUAUCCAUGGCUCUGUCCAAUGCUGAAAGGGAGUCACUGAACUGUUGUGGUUCUCCACAUCCCCAGGCGCCCUGAGCCCUGAGCCCUGAAAUGCUAGGGCUCUGACUUGGUCUUGUUUAUAUUUCCUUAGCCUAAGCAUCUUGCAGGGGCUGUGCAAACGUUUCUUAACCAAACGAAGGUUGGCGUCAUUUCCUCUACAACAGUGGGAGAGGUUGAGGACUUGAGAAGUCAUUCAUUGGUAACUCAAAAGUACGUUUCCCACAAGCAGUGGUGGUACUCAUAUGUGAGGCCAGCCUGGUCUACACAGUGAGUUCCAGGGCAGCCAAGGCUACACAGAGAGACCCUGUCUUUUAAAAAACAAAAAACAAACAAACCACUUCUUUUUUUAAAGGUUUUUUUUAGGUUUGUUAUACAUAUGCAUGAGUGUUUUCCCUGUAUGUCUAUGUGUGCACCAUUUGUGUGACUGGUGCCCAUGAAGGUUAGAAGAGGUGUUGAAUCCCCUGGAUUUGGAAUUACAGAAAGUUCUGAGGCACCAUAUGGAUGCUGAGAAAGAUCCUCUGUAAGAGCAACACGUGCUCCUAACCACUGAGCCACCUCUCCAGUUCCCGAGAAGGAUUUUUUCAUAACUAAUGAAUGAAAACCUCAGAAUCCUUGCUGGAGGUUUCUCUCGUUUCAUCCUGUUUCCAUGCUUAGUCCCUCCACCAAAACACGAAGUCUUCCUCGAAGCCCAAAUUCUGUCUGGGGCCAGUGAGAUGGCUCAGGGAGUUAAGGUGCUUGCCUUCGAGCCUGAGGAUCUGAGUUCAAUCCCCAAGACCUACAUCUUCAGGGUGUCCUCUGACCUCCAAAAGCGUGCCACGGUAAGCUUGUACCUAUGUACCUAUGCGUACAUUCUCUCCAAAUAAGUCAAUAUAUCUAAGAUGGCAGCUGGUCAUGGCAGCACAUGUUUGUAAUCUCAGCAGAAGCAGAAGCAGAUGGGCCUCUGCGAGUUCAAGGCCAGUUGAUUGAUAUAACGACUAUUAUAGCCAGUUCCACACCAGUCAAAGCUACGUAAUAUGACAGUCUCAAAAAUAUGAAGUUAAAAAAAAACAUAAAACUAAGAGGCAGGAGAGAUGGCUCAGUGGUUAAGAGCACUUGCUGCUCUUCCAAAGGACCUGGGUUCAACUCCCAGCAACCACAUGGCAGCUCACAAGUGUCUGAGUCCAGUUUCAGGGGAUCUGACCCCUCCACAGUGCAUAGAUACACAUGCAGGCAAAGCAUCCCUUCAUAUGAAAUACAAAAUUUAAAGAAUUCUGCCUUGGGCUUUCACCUUUUUCUUCUUAAAUAUAGAAUGUUCUUAGGCCCUUUGUACCAUAUACCCACAUCAUUCAUCUCUUAAUUCCUUUUAGGUAUCACUUAUUCAAAGAGGGUUCCUCAGGCUUGAAGGCAAGCACCAGUAAUUUAAAUACUAACUCCCUAUGAGGCAGUGGUCCACGUUAGAAAACCUGGUAAGGUCAAGUGAUGUCUCAGUCAGGGUUCCUAUUCCUUCACAAAUAAUAUGACCAGGAAGCAAGUUGGGGAGGAAAGGGUUUAUUCAGCUCACACUUCCACAUUGCUGUUCAUCACCAAAGGAAGUCAGGACAGGAACUCAAGCAGGUCAGGAAGCAGGAGCUGAUGCAGAGGCCAUGGAGAGAUGUUAGUUACUGGCUUGUUUUCCUAUAGAACCCAAGACUACCAGCCCAGGGAUGGCACCACCCACAAUGGGCUGGGUCCUCCCUCUUUGAUCACUAGUUGAGAAAAUUUCUUACAGCUGUAUCUCAUGGGGGCAUUUCCUCAACUGAGGCUCCUUUCUCUGUGAUAACUCCAGCUUGUGUCAAGUUAACAUACCAAACCAGCCAGCACAAGUGGAUUCAGACACCCCCACUCCCAGCCCCUGCACCCUCAUGCCUGAGAACCGUAGGUGUUUGUUUCUUCUACUCCUGACCAGAUUGCUGUCCUGGAACACGUGACCAUGACACCCCACAUAAAGAACAUGACCAGUAGUCAUGUAACACAGAACACAGAGUUCUCCAUGCAAAUGAGGUGUCUAGAUGGGCUCUGCGGGUUUAGCCAAUUAGCUUCCCUUCCCAAACAUUCCUUCCUGCAGAAAGUAUUUAAUCUCUGGUCUACUCUGAGGAAGCUGCAUGCACCCAUUUUCCACAAUGAACAAUGAAAAAACAGUUUGGACAAACAAGGACUGUCUCUCUCAUCAAGAACCACUGUGGAUGAUGUAGGGGAAGCCUCUUUUCUUUGUACAGAGCCACCCAGCCUGUCUCCCUCAGAAGGCCCCACAGUGCUCCCAGAUAUCUACCUCAUCGCUCAGCCCCACCCCUACCCCAUUCAGGACUCCUCAGACUUCCCAGCAAUGUCUGGGUAUUCAGGAGUUAGGGAACCCCAGCAACAGACUGUGUCAUUUCUCACCAGAGCUUCGGACUGUGUUCUCCCAUCCCCUGAGCGGUAUAUCAGUGCUUUCUGAAAGCCCAACACCUGAUGGCAGAGAAGGGUAAAAUGCAGCCUGGGCGGAGUUCUGAAUUUGCACACCCCAGCAGCAAGGCAGGGUGCCUUGCCAAAGAGGGAAUCCUUAGUCACACCAUUUAAAUACCAACCCCUUGUCACUUUCUUUUCCCUGACUUUGCCUUUUCUUUACAGUAUAUGUAUUUAUGUCACCUUACAAUGUUUUUAUAUACUAACUUACUAAUUAAUUUCUCCUGAUCACCAACUAGAUUAUGUGCUCCUGGGGAAAACACCAUCUGUUAACUCACUGCUGUACACCGAGAUGCCGCAGAGCAUGGCACAUACCAGGUGACAUGAAUGAAUGACUGAAUGAAAGACCAUCUACAUAGAAGCUUCAGUUGAGUGGCAGGGGCCAGGAGCCAGGUGUCACCUGUUGUUAAAUUAGUGAAUUGGGGCAUUGGGGGCAAAUAGGAAAGGACCAUUGUUCUUUCAGAGAAUGAGCAUUUGGUUACAUUGUGAACCCCUAGACUGUGAACUAUAAGAAUGUGUUCGUAAUUGUGGCUCAACCUUUGAUCCUCAAGUUUUCUGUCUACUGUAAACAAGUAGUUGUAGUGUGGUUCAGCCCAGGCACACAUUUUUAAUCCAAGAGCUAAAUAAGGUCAGCCCUAGGUCAAGAGGCGGAGCAAGCAACCAGCCUAUGGGAAGUGCACAUAAGUAGCCAGAAAGGAGGUCUUUGAGUUGAAGGGUGUCUACCACAUGGACUUUGUGGGGAAGGAGAUAAAGCUCUUUUUUUUUUCUGGGAUGUUAGUGGAGUAGGAAGGUAAGCCGGGUGCUUUCUUUGCCUCUCUGAGCGGCAGACUUUCACCCCAGCGUCUGACUCCCGGGUCUUCAUUUGGUUACAAUUGAACAGCUGGGAUUUAGUUUUUUUAAACAACAAUUCAUAUCAGGUGGCUCAAAACUACCUUUAACUCCAGCUCUGGGAGAUGUGGUGCCCUCUUCUGACCUCUGCAGCGUCUACACUCACAUACACCCACAUGCACACACACACACACACACACACACACACACACACACACACACACACACAUAAAUAACCGAGUGGAUCUGUGAAGGUGGCAAGUUAUUACAUAAACAUCAUCUUAACUUAUAAAUUAUCACAUAAGGCCCCAUUUUCCCCUGACAAAACAGAUCCGUGAAAGGUAAGCAGGGUGGGACCCGGUGUCCUUAAAAUAUGGUUUAGCUGUGACAAAAAUUAAAAUCGUCCACAUAUGGUGAUGUAAUCAGCACAGAGGAAAGAAACCUGAACUUCCUGUUGAGCAUCAACAAAGACACACCUGGAAAAA